rnacentral:rRNA from 1 species
AGCAGCCGCGGUAAUUCCAGCUCCAAUAGCGUAUAUUAAAGUUGUUGCAGUUAAAAAGCUCGUAGUUGAAUUUCGGGAUCAAUAUAUCGGUCGUGCCUUGGUACGUACUGGUAUCAUUGGUUCCUCCUUUCUGACGAACCAUGAUGUCAUUAAUUUGGUGUUAUGGGAAGUUAGGACUGUUACUUUGAAAAAUUGAGUGUUUAAAGCAGGCUUUAGCUUGAAUACAUUAGCAUGGAAUAAUGAAAUAGGACGUUUCGAACCUAUUUUGUUAGUUUCUAGGAUCAACGUAAUGAUUAAUAGGGAUAGUUGGGGGCAUUAGUAUUCAAUUGUCAGAGGUGAAAUUC